rnacentral:rRNA from 1 species
AGAGUUUGAUCCUGGCUCAGAUUGAACGCUGGCGGCAGGCUUAACACAUGCAAGUCGAGCGGAAACGAGAAUAGCUUGCUAUUCGGCGUCGAGCGGCGGACGGGUGAGUAAUGCUUGGGAAUAUGCCUUUUGGUGGGGGACAACAGUUGGAAACGACUGCUAAUACCGCAUAAUGUUUACGGACCAAAGCGGGGGACUCUUCGGAGCCUCGUGCCAAAAGAUUAGCCCAAGUGAGAUUAGCUAGUUGGUGGGGUAAUGGCCUACCAAGGCGACGAUCUCUAGCUGGUUUGAGAGGAUGAUCAGCCACACUGGGACUGAGACACGGCCCAGACUCCUACGGGAGGCAGCAGUGGGGAAUAUUGCACAAUGGGGGAAACCCUGAUGCAGCCAUGCCGCGUGUGUGAAGAAGGCCUUCGGGUUGUAAAGCACUUUCAGUCGUGAGGAAAGGGGUGUAGCUAAUAUCUGCAUCCUGUGACGUUAGCGACAGAAGAAGCACCGGCUAACUCCGUGCCAGCAGCCGCGGUAAUACGGAGGGUGCGAGCGUUAAUCGGAAUUACUGGGCGUAAAGCGUGCGUAGGCGGUUUGAUAAGCCAGAUGUGAAAUCCCGGGGCUUAACCUCGGAACUGCAUUUGGAACUGUUUGACUAGAGUACUGUAGAGGGUGGUGGAAUUUCCAGUGUAGCGGUGAAAUGCGUAGAGAUUGGAAGGAACAUCAGUGGCGAAGGCGGCCACCUGGACAGAUACUGACGCUGAGGCACGAAAGCGUGGGGAGCGAACAGGAUUAGAUACCCUGGUAGUCCACGCCGUAAACGAUGUCAACUAGCUGUUUGUGUUCUUGAAACGUGAGUAGCGUAGCUAACGCGCUAAGUUGACCGCCUGGGGAGUACGGCCGCAAGGUUAAAACUCAAAUGAAUUGACGGGGGCCCGCACAAGCGGUGGAGCAUGUGGUUUAAUUCGAUGCAACGCGAAGAACCUUACCAUCCCUUGACAUCCAGAGAAUUUUCUAGAGAUAGAUUAGUGCCUUCGGGAACUCUGAGACAGGUGCUGCAUGGCUGUCGUCAGCUCGUG